GGCAAACCUAGUAGUGGGGUGGUGGACGUGGGAGGGUGACCCAGGAGGGAAAGGCCUGGUGAAACACAGGGGAGAAGGUCGCAGGGUGGUCAGUGGGGGCUUCCGAGGGCCGGGGAUAGGUCAGCGUGGGCCGCCUGACCACGCUGGAUGGCGUGAGCCGCUUGGAUGCCCAGAGGUGUAAGGUGAGGAGCUCCUCCGGGCUCUCCCCGGCCACCUUCUCGCUGUGUCCUCGCAGGACUUCUGCAGAGGGAUUUGGAGAGUCCUACAUGGUCCGGCUAGAUCAGACAUCCCUUGCAGGAGGGCUCUAAGCAAGAGAGGCACAGGGAAGAUAGCAGUGAUUUGUCACGGGACUGGAGUUUGGCUGUACUGACCGCCAGGCAUUUUGGGACAAGCUGUAGUAGGGCUUUAAACAGGAAGAGAUCUCCCACCACCAUGUGGAAAGCAGAUGUGUCACGGAGAAGUGGAACCCACUUGUGAGGAGUAAGAGAUUUCGGACUAAUCGCUUGCAUAAGUACCACGCUGCAAAAUGCAAUUCCACAGCUGUGUCAAGGGUGUGGGGCAGAGUCUGCUGGAUACAGGGAAGGAGGUUACAAACGACAGAGGUUAAAGCACGCUACUUCGGAGCACUGUUUUCUUCCUUCUCCACAUCAUGUGUUUAACUAUUUUAUUGAGAUUUAAAUCAUGGGGCCUAGGAAUAUAGCAGGGUAAGCCCCUGCCUGGCAGGUGCAAGUUCCUGAGUUCAAUCCCCAGUACCCCUCCCCUUAAAAGAUUUAAACCACGGACCAUAGAACUUACCCCCUGGAAAUGAACAGCUCAGUGGCUUUGAGGAGAUACACAGGGCUGUGGAAUCACAAUUGUAAUCCACUGUCAAAUGUUUUCAGCACCCCAAAUAAAAACCCUGCCUCCAUCAGCUGACCUCAGUCCCCAUGGGAGUCCCUCUUUUCCCCUGCCCUGAACAACCAACCGUUGCUGUAUGCCCCCCCCCCCGCCAGUUACACAUUCUUGACAUUUUAUAUAGAAGAAUUGGCCUCAUACAGUCUUUUGUAACUGACUGCUUUCAUUUAAUAUGAGGUUUUCAAGAUGUACCCAUGUUGCCGCAUGUCUCUUCAUUUCUUUUUAUUGCUCAAUAAUUCUGAGCCUUCUGCUUGGUGAAUUGGCCACAUAUGUUGAGAGAAACGAACACAGUCACUAGGAAGCAUCGGGUUUUAAAUGAACUCUAAAUUGCAUCACAAAGAAUGAUUGGAGAAACAGGAAGUAUUUAACAGAAUAAGCACAUAUCGGUCUGGCCACAAGGUAGUCUAUUUGGGGGGGGGGACACUGCUACUGCAAAUGAAACUUUACCUUGGUGUGAGGAAAAACGGUGUAUAUUUCCCAUGCAAGGAUACAGGAGACUGCACAUCCUCUGUGCUCUCCGAAUAUGAGUAUCUAGGCUGGAGGAGCUCAUGCUGGGCUUGGUCUAGAGAGGGUGAACCUCUAGGAUCUCUUCCAACCUGCAGCUCCUGGAUGCCUCAGAAGGCAAACAGCGCUGUGUCGGCACCGAGACAACGUGGAAACUCCUGCCUUCCAACACUUCUACUCACAGAAAUGAGCAAAAGCAGAGGCGGAGAGUCCGCUGAGGUCCCUGGCCUUGAUGUUUUCAUAGAUUUGUGUGAGGAUGAGGAGGGACAUGGAGGAAAGACACCAAGUCAGGAGAGCUGGGAGUGCGUGGAGAGAGAGGACAGAAAGGAGGGAGAGAGUGGCCAGAAGGGCAGCCUGAGACUGCGGCCAGUGUGGACUGUGGUCGUGACCUCUCCAUACUACGUUCAUUGUGGUUUUUCCCUUCAAAACGCGAGGAAGGAGUUCACGGGGGCAAGACAGGAAUAUUUAUGAGGCUGCAGGAGGCAGCGUGACGUUCGUGCUGUCACAUUCUGGGACAAACGUCCUAAGGCAAUACCAUUUUCACUAUCGAUGCACUGAGAUUCUAGACAGUAGAAACAAAGAGCGGUUGAGUUAGCACUAAGGGACCCUCCCACGAGCAGCACUGCAGGCAAGCAGGUCCCAGCGGUGUGGCACAGAUGUCCUGCGAAAGCCAUGGCACAGCAGGGCCACACCUUCUCAGGGGUGCCCGAGCCCCAAGAGGCUGCAGCUCCCGGAGAAGCACGUGGAAUUGGACAUUUUGUGUCCUGACAGAUGCUACACUAGAGGGAAUAUUCAGUCCUGGCCCUGUAGAAGGUCAAACAAACAUGGAGAAAACUGAGCAGCGAUACCAAGCGACAGGUAAGACUUCAAAUAAGUGUGAAUUUGAUGUCUCGAUCUGCGGAUGACUUUGGGAGACUUAAUUUCCUGACGAAUCAAGGACGGCUUCAAGCACUGUCCACGAGCCAGGGUGCAGGGAAGACUAGCGCCACAGAUAAAUAAAGCAAAGGAAAAAGGGAAAGAAGACAUCACGGGAUCCUGAAUACAUCAAGAGAGAACCAGAAAAAGAACUGGUGGGUAUGAUAUGGCAGGGUCAAGAAUCGAGGCCAGCCAUCAGGUGACUUUGGAGUUUUUCACCUACAUACCUGUCUCUGAAAGUCCUUUUAGCCUCCAGUUGCAAUAUCCCUAAGGAUACCUACGAGUGUGCUGAAUUAGAUCAUUCACGGGGCCCCAGUAAUUCCCAACUUCUAUGAGUCUAUCAUUUGAACAAAACAAGAUGGUCGAUCAAUAAAACAAAGCAUUUAAUAUAUUCUUAUGAGCUACAAGAAAGUCUUUCCACGGCUGUCCCCCAAAUUUGGGCACCAGGGACCUGUUAGGUAGAAGCCAGUUUUUUCGUGGACCAGAGGGCAAGGGGGUAGACUGGGGUUGAAUCAAAGGAGCUUGCAAUCUAGAUGCCUGGAGUGUGCGCUUCACAGUGGGGUUCAGGCGCCUGUGAGAAGCUGGGGCUCCAGGGGUGACGGCAGGCACCAGGCACAGUAAAUACAGGGGCAGCUUCGCUCACUGCCUGCUGCUCACCUCCGGCUGUGCAGCCCUAGUGCUGCGGGGACCCUGCCCCGCCACACAGGAGCAGGGAGGAAGGAGACCCAGAGCUGCAGAAGCCAAGUGCAGACUCGGAUGCUAGCAGACUGUGUGGUAGACACAUGGGCAGGCAGAUGGGGAGCUGGCUUCUGUCGCCGCUUGGUUUCUUCCCGAGCAUUCUGCAGGACAGGGAGAGGGAUUUCAUGGCACUGAGAAAGGACACGCUUUCCAGCCCUUCCCCCACCCUGCUCCUCUCACUCCUGCCAGCUCAUGGCCACCUUCUCUUCCACCCCAGGAGACCAUCGUCUGUUGGCCACUUGCCUUUUCCCCAUCCUUUGUGCCAUCCUGUGCUGGUUUCCCUCCUCUCCUGUGCUCCCCCUGUCUGGCAGGGUGCUCAUCCCGGGCACGGCCCCUCGAGGACCCUCCACAUUGACUCCCCUGGCACAGCCAUGAAGCCGCCCAGCCCGGCCCGUGUCUGCCUCUCUGCUCUGCUCACCUGGAGGAAAGCACAGCCGUCCAUCCACAAGCCACGCCACUGUAAGUCCAGGUCAAAACUUAAAUCAUUGUGGAUCUUUCCUUUCCCCCUAACACCUGUGUGUUUGAUUUGUGUUCCUCCAAAUAUACCCAUUCUAUUCAUCACACCCUCAUUCAAGGUGUCCAUGGAACACUGUCACAGCUGCUGUCUGCACCUUCCGCUAAACAGCCAUAGUCUAAAGAUACCUAGGUAUCUGUUCACUUUCCAUCCUCAUGGAAAGUUCUUCCAACAUCCCACAGGCUGUGCCCGGCUCCCCAUCAUCUCUUUCCUACCCAUAUCAUUUCCUGCCAUUCUUUUCCUUGUUCUGCUUGGUCAGCCUCGUGGACCUUUGGGCUCAUCCCUGCCCUGCCAAGCACACUGGGUAACAGCGUCUCCCUGCUUACGUUCCACCUGCCUAAGACACUAUUCAGCUAUGUGACUGACUUUCACCUUCAUUUCAUUCAAAUCUCAGCUCAAAAAUGUCACUUUGUCAGAGAGGUAUGUUCUCUAUCCACCCACACAUCACUCUUUAUUCUUUUACUAUGCCCUGUAAUUUCUAUAUAACACUUCUAAUAUAGUAUAUAUUUUUUGAUUCCCUGUCUUUUCUCGCUUGAAUAUAAACUCACAGCAGCAGAGACCUUGCCUGCUUUGUCCACUAUUUUGUGUCAAAUACCUAGAACAUUAGAAUCUAUAGCAAAUGAUUGGAAAGCAGGCACCGGACUGAGAGUGCAAAUGUAGCCUUCUAAAUCCAUAAACCCUGAAGACUUAUUGUGAGCCAGGAUCUGUUCCUAGCACUGAAUCGAGACCAUCAUGCUAAGUGAAAUAAAUUGAACCCACGAGCUUAACUGUCAUGUGGUUUAUCUUCUAUGAGAAAUGCAAAUUAUAAAUAAAGGGCAAAAUAUAAGAUAGAUAACAGUAAGGAGGAGAUAGAUCUUUCCACUGGAGGGGAAUCAAGAGAUGGAGUGGGGAUGGGAGAGGAAGGGAUGAAAAAUAGAAUUAAGAAGUGUUGUGUCCCUGAACCAGCUCUACAAGGAACACAAACACAUACUGAUGAUACAAAAAAAAAAAAAAAAAAAAAAAAAAAGAUGGAUUUCACUGAAGUGGAAUCGGCAGGAGUGAUAGGAGUGAUAGGAGGGAGACAAAUAAAUCUAUAAGUAGAUCAAUUAAAUGGGAUAAAAUAAAAAGAGUUUUAAGUGCGAGAAAGAUGAAAAACAGAAUGUUUCAUUAGAGAGUGCACCAGCCCAGGGCUUUUGAGAAGUAGAUUCCAGAAUGGAAUUAGAUGUGAUUCUGACUUGUUUGGGGAUGGGCUGUGAAGCACAGAGGAGAAGGUGUGCAAGAGUAGGUGGCCCAUCGAGGGGGAAAGAGGAAGGUUAGUAUGGGAAGAGCCUCAGUCAGCGGUGCCUCUCUGAGUGCAUCCCAGCCAGGCCCUCCCGGACCAGACCGCUGUGCAGUUGGGCUCCAGUGAGAAUUUGUCCUCCAAGCAGGCCUGCGAUGGGCAGAGAUGGAGAAAGUAGGCUGGUCUAGUAUCCCACCAGCUCAGUCUUAGGUUGGGGCAGCCAAGGAGUGAGCACCACAGUGGACUGAAGGGCCCAGCUGGUGACAAUCCACCAAGAAGGCUCCCUUAGACAGUGCUCUGAGCAACGCACUUGGCUGACAAGUGGGAGCUUGGACUUUUACAGUGGGAGGGUCAGUGGCGUUUUCCACAGAGAAAUGGAUGAUAAGAAAUUGGAUUUGGGAGCAAAGGUCCAAUCUCUUUUGUAAGCAGAAUAUAAUUGCAAAAUCCCUAGAGUAGAUGUGAGGUUAGUUUGCUGCAACAAUCCAAGUUCAUCUAAUACCAUACAGUAAUGAGAUGCAAAAGGGAGGACCUAGGAGAGGACAAGCUGCAGAAUAGGCAAGGGCCAGAUUUCUGUAGAGCUGGGUGGGCACAAUAGAGUGGAUUUAUCUUCAAGUCACUCUGCAUUUAUUCUCAAUGACACGUGUGCCAAUUUCCUCUGUAAUCUGGAGACACCGGAAGUGCCGCCAUGAUUUAAUAACCGAGGAGUGAUGCAGUUCCGGUACCUCGUGGACUCCGCAGUGCUGCUGGCUUUCUGCUUUCUGAGAUUAAAGACUAAGAAAAAUAGGAGAGAGAAGGCGAUGAAAGGUGGAGGGGACAGCUGGGCCUUUGGGGCCAAGAGGAGGACUGUGGCUAAAAUCCCAAGGGGAGAAACUGCUUUCUUCUCCAAUUCAUGAUAAAGCUUCCACUUGUCGCCUGAUGGGUGAUGAUAACAUUUUAUGUAUAUUUUUGUGAUUCCCAUCUGUCUUGUUUUUUCGUGAUUCUCAUGCUUCCUACUUAAAAAAAGAAAAGUCUAGGAAUAAGGACAUGUCUUCCCUCGUCCCAGUGUGUUUGACAAUGCCAAAAUUUCUGAAGUUCUAUUUUAAUAAAGGAUCAAAAGCCCUGG